rnacentral:rRNA from 1 species
AGGACGAACGCUGGCGGCGUGCUUAACACAUGCAAGUGGAGCGACGAACCAGGGCUUGCCCUGGGGCAGAGCCGCGAACGGGUGAGUAACACGUGGGUUACCUGCCUCGAUGACCGGGACAACCCGAGGAAACUCGGGCUAAUACCGGAUGUGCCCGCAAGGGGAAAGGAAGCUUCGGCCUCCGCAUCGAGGUGGGCCCGCGGCCCAUUAGCUUGUUGGUGAGGUAACGGCUCACCAAGGCUUCGAUGGGUAGCUGGUCUGAGAGGACGAUCAGCCACACUGGGACUGAGACACGGCCCAGACUCCUACGGGAGGCAGCAGUGGGGAAUCUUGCGCAAUGCGCGAAAGCGUGACGCAGCAACGCCGCGUGGGGGAAGAAGGCUUUCGGGUUGUAAACCCCUUUCAGUUGGGACGAAGCUUCGCCGGUGAAUAGCCGGCCGGAGUGACGGUACCUUCACAAGAAGCACCGGCUAACUACGUGCCAGCAGCCGCGGU